UUACCAUGUUUGAGGCGAUCUCGAAGGAUGUUCAUGCUAUUUUAUUGGAGGAUUUUAGUGGUGUGGCUUGGCCAAGAUUGGUGCUGAAGAACUAGCUUAGGCCUAGUAUAGCCCGGUUCUUGUUUUAUUUCUUUAGUUUGUUUCGCAUUUUUUAUUUCGUUGUUUGUUGCGUGUGUGGUUCUUUGGGGCUUGCCCCUCUCCUUCACCAAAUAAAAAAUUAAAAAAAAAACCUCCCCCGAAAUUAAUGGAAUUCCGGAAUUGGCCUUUAUUCUAAUUGGUUGAUGCUUGAGUGCUUUCUCACCGACUUUCCUCACCUACUUCCUUCGCUCUCUUUCUUCUCAUCUCAAAAAAAAAAGGCUGAGAGUUUUUUGGGGAAACAAGGAGAGAGAAACCUAGAGAGAGAAAAUAUGUCUUCCUUCAACAACGAUGGCGAUGAGCACAAAACCACCGAUCAUUCCUUCGACGAUGGUUAUGGGGCUUCCAUUCUUCUCAGUGUUUGGAUUUCUCAGGUUUCAGCGACGCGGUUGCUAAGGUAUCUCUUCAUUCUCAUGGUUUCCUAAAGCAAAGAUGUUCGGAGGAAUGUUCCUGAAGAAACCAAGCAAGGAAGAAGCUCUGAUGCAGCUUCGAUCCCACGGAUUGAUGUUCGAAGCAUGGGUUGUUGCUAUUCGGGUUAGUCCUUAUGUUCUUCAGUAUUUCCAGAAAGAGGAGAUCACUUUGGAUCUUUGAUUCAACCCCACCAAAUUUAAGAUUUAAGGAUUACAAUGAUAAGGGAGGGGAUGGUGUCAAAGAUAGAGGAUUUUGAAGAAGCUCAAGGAUCUGCAAAAACAUCCUCCGACUUCCUGCAAUGUGCCAGUGCCGGGUUUUGGAAGUGUGAGAAGCUUAUCUGUUGACUGAAUUGAGGAGUAAGUAGUUGAUUAAAUUAUGUGUGUAAAGGUUUAGGUAGUUUGAGCAUAAUUUGGAAUGAGACACUGCUGUUCAGGAGCUAUUCGGAAGAAUGAAGACAAGAUUGCAAAAGAAGUAAGGGGAAAAAUUGAAGGGAAAGUUUUUUAGUGGCUUAAGACCAUGUAGAAGUUAUGUAUAAUGAAUUACAUUGAAUUAUACGCUUUCACGCUAGCAUUCCACUGCACAGUCUAAUUUCUAUGGUUUAAUAUAUUUUCAUUUAUUAAUAUAAUAUUCAAAUUGCUCGCUGUUAUUGAAAUGAAGUGUGACAAUUUGUGGAAUUUUUCAGCGUUUGAUAAAUUUGUAUUAUUGAUUGUUGGUUUGUUUAUCACAAUCAAUAAUAAUCACUUUGUGGAAUUUGUUUUUGUAUUGUUCAAUUUCAGAUUUCUUUUAUUUGGUUGCUCUUGUAGGUUUUGGAUUGGUUCAUCCUUUGUGAUGGGAGGCUAUUUUAAAUCAAUUGCUUAAGAAUAAUGCCGGCUUAUUUGACUGAUUUUUUCUGUUUGAUUUACUGAAUAAUAUAGCCUGGUUUGUUGUUUAUUGCUACCUUCUUCCUUGUCAGGGCUUCUGGAGCAAAUGCGGAGAUUUGUUUCUACGGAUUAUACAGGACAAUAAAUAUGUUUAAAGGAGCUCUUAAUGGUUAAGGCCUCAGCAAAUCGGCAGUUAAGAAUUGGGUGGUAACUGAUCCCAUCCAUCUCUAAUUUUGUUCUAAUAUUCAACUAAUUGAUGUAAUUAAUUGGGGUAAUAGCUUAUUGUGUCAAAUUAUGGCUAAUCUCAAAAUAAUGAGCUAUAUUGCUUGUUCCUUUUCUACAUAUUUCAGUAUGCUCUUCCCUCUCUCUCACAAAGUUAAUACUGUGUUUUGGGUUAAUGUGCUUUCCUCCUUAUUGAAAUGAAGAAAGCUUCAAUUGUAAGGGUGAUUGUGAAAUUGAGUGGGAAUUUAGGGAAUGUGAAGGAGUUGAUGAAAAAUAAGGAAUUUGUUAAAGAGGCAAAAGGGGUUAGGAAUUUGAAAAUGGCAUUAAGGAUUGGUGAUGUUGAUGAGGAGAGAAAAAACAAGGAGGUUUUUGUUGAUGGUUUGCUCAGGAAGCAAUGGUUGCCUGCUUUAAGGAGGCAAACUUAGUGUAAUUGAUGUAGAGCUCUUAGAGAUAUGAGUAGAGAGACAUAGUGCUUUUAAAAGUCCAUUUUGUUUCUCUUUUUUGAUCAUCUAAUCUUGACUUGAUUUUAUUAAUACUUAAUCCUUUAAUUUCAAAAAAGUUUUAGUACAUUCUAAAAGCAAUUGUGCUUUUAAUUAAUCACGAGCCAUCCUAUUUUAAUCUGCAUAUUAGAAGGAAUGCAAGAGUAAAGAUGGAUUAGGUGCAGCAUAUUUUUUUAAAUCUUAUUUUACUUUGUUACUUCAAACAGUGAAUGUGGAUCAUUUGAUGCAGCCAUCACCAUAGGGAACAUUAGUAUCCAUCUUUAGUUUAUUUUGAUGUUGAUAUGAGAUUCAUUUGGUUGGGGACUUCCAAAUCAUAAUAUCUUGUAUAUAGUGUCUUCCAUUUUAAUGAGAUUAAGUACGUGAUCAAUUGUUUCCAAAAUGCUUUCAAUACUAUUUGCGGUCUAGCUUGAUGUCCUCUGCAUCCUUUGGUUAAUUGCUUUUUAUUUGUUUGUGAAUUGCCUCUGUUUCUUUUAAUUUUGUAGGUUGUAAAUAUAUUUUUGUUUUAAAUUUGUUAUGGUGGAUUGAAUUGAUUUUUUGCCGAUGCCCUCUUCAGGUCCAACUACAGUCAGUGUUGGUAUUACUGGACUCUUGGGAAGCAAGGGUUUCUCUUGGUUAUCUCUUACUCCUUAAAUUUGCUUUGGUUCUUGUAUUUUAAUGCUUAUUUUUUUAUCUGUGCAUUUUUUUAUUAGCCAUUUUUGGACAUUUAGCUAAGUCGAAAUUACAGAAUAAACUUGAUCAUAUUCUACAUUCAAAAAAUAAACCCAAAAUUUGGGCAAACAAACAAUUCAAAUCAAAUAAGGCUUUUCUAUGGUAGUAUCAGUUUAUAUUUAUGGAAAUCAAGAGGAUGUGAAAGGAGCUAGCACAUGGUAAUAUCAGUUUAUAUUAUGAAAAUCAAGAGGAUUUGAAUUGCGAAUGCUCUAUAAUUUUCAAAUGUUUUCUUUAAGUUUUGAUCUGAUGAAAAGCUACUAUUAGUGGGUAGAUACUGGGAAAACACUAACCAGCUUUUAUCAUUUUCCAUGAUUACCUUUCGUUGCCAUUAGUCAUUACUUUCUGAAGCUUUAUUAAAUUAAUUUUAUAAUCUGUUUUCUCGGAGAAUGAAGAUAAUGAUUAUGAAGCAAUUAAUUUAUAAUCAGUAAGGGACGGUGGGUAAAAAACGCUUCGACAAUUACAAGCUGAAGAAGAUGAGGAGGAAAGGUUUCAAGCAGAUUUGGAGAAAGCUGUACACAGUUCUUGUCAUUUACCAUUUGUUAACUUGCUUUGAUGCUAUCUUUAAAUUGAUUUGUUGACAUUUUUUUUGCUGGUUUUGUUUUAUUUGCUCACAGGAAUAAUGAAUUAAAGUGCGAAUGCAGCGAUGGAGGCGGCAUUGAUGAGAAGAAGAAGAGAUGUAGUUGAGAAGGAUGGCAAUCCAGCCGAAAGCCAUGAUGAUUUUUUUGGCUGCCUUACCAGAAAAAGACUGUUGGUAUUGGGUCUUUGGUUAUGAUUUUAUGACAUCUAACAAUUGCCAAAAUAGCAAGAUUUUUUCUUUUCAUGGUUAGCUCUUUGCCUGAUUUUUUUUCCUCGGUUGCAUAUUUUCUCCAAUUAUUCAAUUAUUGAAUCUGCGUCUUUUAAUCUAUUUUAUGUAAUAUAUAUCAACUUAUUAUUAGUCAAAUUAAAUUAUAAUGAUACUAAGAUUAUUGCCCCUGGUGAUGUUGAUUCUGUUUCAUACUUUGGAAGUCAAACAUAUAUGAGUUGUUGCUAUUAUAUGUAUAUGGAUGAACUCUGGAGUUUGGACUUGGAUUAUUUUUGAAUGUCUGGUUUAUUAGUGCUAGCAAUUUCCUGGAUCGUAGUGUUAUGCUAUUAACCAAGAAUUGAGUAGAGUCAAGUGAUUGAACGCCCUGGUUUCCAUCAGCUCACUACCUAGGUCGUCCUGGGUUCAAGGCUCCUGUCCCCUUCUCCCUGGACAUUAUUCCACAGUAGCCACCUUCUACAGGCCACCUUGAUAUAGGGAUUUAGUGAGAGGGUAAUUGCGCACCUGAUUUGGAAAAACAGUAUUAGGCUAUCAAAUACUGCAUAGUUUGUUCACUUGUGCUGAUUUUACUUCAUGUGAUUGAUUUGUCCCAGAAAAAAAACUAUGUUUGUACUCAACAGCUUUAUUAGAAUUUGAACUUUUAAUCUAACAAUUGUUAGGUUUUAUAUAUACCCAAGCUUUGUUAUGACAUUGCCAUUUCUUCUAGAAAUUGUCUAUUUGCCAAACCAAUUAGGUAACUAAUAAGGAUAGAAAUAGUUGCCUUAGUGGCAAUUAGUACAAAUUCUUUUUAUUGAUUGUCGGGCAGCAGAAUUGCAGAGUGGUUUGUAUCUUGAAGAGGUAAUAAUAAUAAAUACAGCUUAUUGGUACAUGGUGUCCUAAUUAACUGAUUAUCGGGUAUUGACUGAAAUGUAUUGUAUAUUUGUUUUAUUUUUUGGAUACCUGAAUGCAAUUUUUGAUGAAAUGUAUGGUAAGCUACAUUUUUACAGGUCAGGAAACAUUGUUGUAGAGAUGUCCAGAGCUGGAAAACAUCGAAGGAACAGGCAAUAGAUAGUACUAUUCUAAAUCAGAUUUGUAAGAUGUUUUUUUAUUUAAGCUCCCUUGUCAUAUUAUCUAGAAUAUCAUAAUGAGUCAUUGAAGAACUCAUAAUUUUGCUCAAAAAAUAUUGUUGAUCUUACAUUAGUGUGUCACAGUUUCUGAGUCUAAAUCUUUUGCUAACUACUUGGGGUGUGCUAAAUGUUAGAGUAAUCUAACCAUGGAAUACAUCUCUGUUUAAAUAAAUAAUGGCUAGGAGGGUUUGUUAAAUAAUUGCUUUUUUAACAAGAAUGAAUGAUUUUUUUUAUAACUUAUGAGAAAUAAUUAGGGUUGUUUUAACCUUCGUAUAAUCUAGUGUGAUGGUGUGUUCUAUGUAUCCCUCAGUUAUUAAUCAUCCCUCAGUUUACAUGUUCGAAAAUCAUUUUGAUUACAUGUCGAAUCAGUUAGAAGGUAAAGAUUUUGAGAGUCAUAUUGGCUGUCAAAAGUUUACUUUUUAGUUAAAAUUGGCAUGAAAUUAACAAAAAACUGUAAUUUGUGUGUUAAGAAAUUGCCUCAUACCUUAAACUGUUCUAUCCAUUAAGAGUUAGAGGGAUGGCAUGGAUGAUAAAUAUAAGUGUAAAAUUGGCUUAUACAAGUAGGAAAUUUUUUGUGUCAAAAAAAAAAGUAGGAAAUUUUUAAAAAUGAGAGAAAUUGAAAUUAUAAAAAAAAUAAUAAAUAAAUAAAUAAAUAAAAAGGAUAACACUUUUAAGAACAUAUUUAAAGUUAAGUUGAGGAAUAUUGAGCAUUUGAGCGUCUAAACAUAUAAGUAUUAGUGUAUGAGAAAAUAAGUGACAGGUAAAAAAAGUUUUUAGGAACAACUAUCAAAAGAGGUAUAAAAAGCAUAUUUGAGGCUUCUGUUAAAGAACAAAUAUAUAUAAACAUCUCUAAUCACUAAUGUAUUAAUGCUUCAACAUCCUAGUUGAAGUCUAACUAUAAAUUUUAACUAUUGUUUGUCUGUAGUCUAUGACAUUCAAAAUGGAUUGGUAAUAAAUAAAAAUCAAAUUAAGAAGUUGUUUUUAAUAUUUGGAGUAAGGAUGAUAUUAGGUUUAAUAAUGGGGUGAAAUAUCUUGUAAAUGUUUUCGAAUAUUUUUCUCUCUAAUUUUGAGAAAAAGAGUACCAAAAGGAGCUACUAGGUGCCAAAAAAAUUAAAAUCAUUUUGAAAGAAUCGUGCUAUAUUCAACAGUAAGUGUUUUUGUUUGUUUUUUUUUUUUUUUUUUUUU